GGUGCCCUGGUCGCGUGUCUUCCGAACUCUGCUGCUUCGCCCCGGCAAGAGCACUUCCUUCCGCGGCUGCUAAAACUGGUGCGCGGGUUCCCAACUUCGCAGAAGAGCUUCAUCGGCCCCCCGCUAGAGACCUCAGACCGCAGCCAUCGACGCCUCGCCUCGGGGAUCUGUCCCCACCCUCGGGGCCAGCUCACCAUGAGUCAGGCCCUGUGCUAGGUGCUGGGAUGAAGCAGUGACUGACACAGGCCUGGACCUGUCCUUGGGAAGAGUGCGUCUGUGACACAGAUACUGUGCCAUGUGGCAAAACUUGAAUGGAGACAUCAGCUCUUUGUGGGUCUCAAGUCUACUGGCUUUCAAUCAGCUCUUCUGCUUGACAGCUGCAGGUCUUGGGACUGCCCAGCCCCCAUAACCCUGUGAGUGCAUUCCUGAUAAUAACCCUCUUUCUCUUGUCCUCCCCCACCCCACAUCAUUGGUUCUGUUUCUCUGGAGAACCAUAAUACAUCAUUUACUAAUCAGGAAAUAGAUUCAGAGACAUUAAUAACUCAUCCAACCUCACAGUUAACUGUAGAGUUGGGCUUGAAAUUCCAAGGUCGAUUUUCUUAGCCAAUACACCAUGCUACAUAUAUGUAUGUAAAAAUAAAAACGCUUGUGAACUGAAAA
rnacentral:lncRNA from 1 species